rnacentral:rRNA from 1 species
UACGUAGGGCGCAAGCGUUAUCCGGAAUUAUUGGGCGUAAAGAGCUCGUAGGCGGUUUGUCGCGUCUGCCGUGAAAGUCCGGGGCUCAACUCCGGAUCUGCGGUGGGUACGGGCAAACUAGAGUGAUGUAGGGGAGACUGGAAUUCCUGGUGUAGCGGUGAAAUGCGCAGAUAUCAGGAGGAACACCGAUGGCGAAGGCAGGUCUCUGGGCAUUAACUGACGCUGAGGCGCGAAAGCUAGGGGAGCAAACAGG